CCAUUCUCCCUGUCCAUUUCUCAACCGAACCCCACGCAAAGCUGCCGAGGCUCUCCCUUCUUUCUUCGAUCUCCCUCCGACAAAAAUCGCAAAAUCCUUCGCCCCUCCUCUCGUCCAAAUGGAGGAGCAAGGUAAGCAGUAAAACAGCACACUCACUACACUCCACUCCUCCAUCUCACGGUUUGGAACGGUUCCCUCUCUGUCUUUUUCACGCUAUUCCCUCUCCCAUCCUCCUCUGCCCGAGAGCUGCUCUUCCAUUCAUAAAACCUCUCCAUUUUUUCUCCCAACCAAAAACAGAAACCAAGCACUCCCUAUUUCCUUCCCGCUUCACUCCCACCAACAGCCACCCACCUCACUCCCACUCCUCCCCCAUCUCUCUAGCCGUCAGACAUACCUUAUAUGUUUGUUAGGUACGACUCAUAUAUACCAGACAAGGGCCAGAUGGAAGAGCACGGUAAUUUUGUAAUUGCAGUAAAGGUUAUAUAAAGAGGAGUCGAAUGAGCGAAAUGGCCCACCUUAAUCCACCUCGUGAAGGUAUACAUGUAUUUCUUAAAUGGACUGCAAUAUUUGCAGUCCCCCCAAGCUGAUAAUGUGUUAUUCAAGGCGAGUCUUAAACCCGAGCACCAAGGUACUUACAACACCGCUGCCAACUGAAGUGCCAACCAGUUCGGCUUUACACACCUAUGAUGGUUUAUUUGGAGCAUAUUUUCUUUUAUUUAUGAUUAUUACACAUGGGUAUGCAUUCCCUUAAUAGCUACAUAUCACUUGAUUUCAAAAAUAAAACCCUCAAUGAUAAUAUCAUGCAAAGAAUUGUAAGCA